rnacentral:rRNA from 1 species
CCUAUGGGAGGCAGCAGUGGGGAAUCUUGCGCAAUGGGCGAAAGCCUGACGCAGCCAUGCCGCGUGAAUGAUGAAGGUCUUAGGAUUGUAAAAUUCUUUCACCGGGGACGAUAAUGACGGUACCCGGAGAAGAAGCCCCGGCUAACUUCGUGCCAGCAGCCGCGGUAAUACGAAGGGGGCUAGCGUUGCUCGGAAUUACUGGGCGUAAAGGGAGCGUAGGCGGAUAGUUUAGUCAGAGGUGAAAGCCCAGGGCUCAACCUUGGAAUUGCCUUUGAUACUGGCUAUCUUGAGUGUGGGAGAGGUAUGUGGAACUCCGAGUGUAGAGGUGAAAUUCGUAGAUAUUCGGAAGAACACCAGUGGCGAAGGCGACAUACUGGCCCAUUACUGACGCUGAGGCUCGAAAGCGUGGGGAGCAAACAGGAUUAGAUACCCUGGUAGUCCACGCUGUAAACGAUGAGUGCUAGUUGUCGGCAGGCAUGCCUGUCGGUGACGCAGCUAACGCAUUAAGCACUCCGCCUGGGGAGUACGGUCGCAAGAUUAAAACUCAAAUGAAUUGACGG